rnacentral:rRNA from 1 species
AUUGAACGCUGGCGGCAUGCCUUACACAUGCAAGUCGAACGGUAACGGGCCUUCGGGUGCCGACGAGUGGCGAACGGGUGAGUAAUGUAUCGGAACGUACCUUUCAGUGGGGGAUAACGUAGCGAAAGUUACGCUAAUACCGCAUAUUCUGUGUGCAGGAAAGCAGGGGAUCGCAAGACCUUGCGCUGAUUGAGCGGCCGAUAUCAGAUUAGCUAGUUGGUGAGGUAAAGGCUCACCAAGGCGACGAUCUGUAGCGGGUCUGAGAGGAUGAUCCGCCACACUGGAACUGAGACACGGUCCAGACUCCUACGGGAGGCAGCAGUGGGGAAUUUUGGACAAUGGGGGCAACCCUGAUCCAGCCAUGACGCGUGAGUGAAGAAGGCCUUCGGGUUGUAAAGCUCUUUCGGCCGGGAAGAAAUCGUAUCAGCUAAUACCUGGUGCGGAUGACGGUACCGGCAUAAGAAGCACCGGCUAACUACGUGCCAGCCGCCGCUGUAAGAC